GCCUAUGGCCAGACUGGACUGAUUACACCCGAUCCCGUCCGAUCUUGGAAGCUAAGCAGGCCCUUCCUGGGUGCUGUAGGCC
rnacentral:rRNA from 1 species